rnacentral:rRNA from 1 species
AACGAACGCUGGCGGCGUGGAUAAGACAUGCAAGUCGAACGCUAAUUACGAGGUAGCAAUAUUUCGUGGUUGGAGUGGCGCAAGGGUGCGUAACACGUGGGUAAUUUGCCGUGAAGUUGGGGAUAACUCGCUGAAAGGUGAGCUAAUACCGGAUGUGACUGUUGGGAGGCAUCUCCUGGCAGUUAAAGUUGGGGACCGCAAGGCCUGACGCUUUACGAUAAGCCCGCGGCCUAUCAGCUAGUUGGUGAGGUAACGGCUCACCAAGGCUAAGACGGGUAGCUGGUCUGAGAGGACGACCAGCCACACUGGAACUGAGACACGGUCCAGACACCUACGGGUGGCUG